rnacentral:rRNA from 1 species
CUACGGAGGAUCCGAGCGUUAUCCGGAUUUAUUGGGUUUAAAGGGUGCGUAGGCGGCCUUUUAAGUCAGCGGUGAAAGUCUGUGGCUCAACCAUAGAAUUGCCGUUGAAACUGGGAGGCUUGAGUAUGUUUGAGGCAGGCGGAAUUCGUGGGGGAGCGGUGAAAUGCUUAGAUAUCACGCAGAACCCCGAUUGAGAAGGCCGCCUGCCAAGCCAUGACUGACGCUGAUGCACGAAAGCGUGGGGAUCAAACAGGAUUAGAUACCCUGGUAGUCCACGCAGUAAACGAUGAUCACUAGCUGUUUGCGAUACACUGUAAGCGGCACAGCGAAAGCGUUAAGUGAUCCACCUGGGGAGUACGCCGGCAACGGUGAAACUCAAAUGAAUUGACGGGG